UUUAGUAGAUUACAAUACAGACUGUAAAUGUGCGGGAGAUUUUAUUGAUAUUGAAGCUUGUAAACAAAACCAAUAAACGUAGGACUUAUUCACGGCAAUGUAUGGGAACCAGUCUAAAAGGCAAAGAAAAUUCCGCCAAGUAAACAACAAAGAAAGGGAUUUGGGAUGUUGUCAGUUGUAUACAUUAUGUGCGACGGUGACUGCAAGAAACAAGGAAUGUGGAGCUAAUGCAUGCUGGUAAGGAUGGAAAGGUCUUGUGUUUAUUGGUUGUGCCUGAGACACCAGUCACAGUUGUACCUUAUUUCCAUUUUAGGGAGUCUAUAUACAUUUGAGGUGAGCGGCAGAUUUAAUUUUGAAGAUGGAUGACUUUCAGAUGUUGUGAUGAAGAUUGUUGAAAGGGAUUAUCAACAUAAAACCAAUCCAUAUGAAUUGGCGAGUCAGAAACAAGGAAUGUGGAGCUAGUGCGUGCUGCUAAGGAUGGAAAGGUCUUGUGUUUAUUUGUUGUGCCUGAGACACCAGUCACAGUUGUACCUUAUUUCCAUUUUAGGUAAUGUCUUUUGAGUUUUUUUAAGUAGAGGGAACACUGCAUUUUUCAUUCAAUAUAAAUGUAAAAUUAUAGAGAUAACUUUUUUUUCACCAUUGCUGGAUACUCACUACAUGAUUUUAUCUAAAGAAAAGUAUUUAAAUUAUUUUCUCACAUUUUUUAAAGAGGCCG